rnacentral:rRNA from 1 species
CCUACGGGGGGCUGCAGUGGGGAAUUUUGCGCAAUGCUCGUAAGAGUGACGCAGCGACGCCGCGUGAAUGACGAAGGCCUUCGGGUCGUAAAGUUCUUUCGACAGGGAAGAAAAUGCCUAUAAGUAACUGUGUAUGUAUUGACGGUACCUGUAUAAGCAGCCCCGGCUAACUCCGUGCCAGCAGCCGCGGUAAUACGGAGGAUCCGAGCGUUAUCCGGAUUCAUUGGGUUUAAAGGGUGCGUAGGUUGUUUUAUAAGUUAGCGGUGAAAUAACGAUGCUCAAAAUCGGGGCUGCUGCUGAUACUGUAGGACUAGAGAUCGGGUGCAGCAGGCGGAAUGUGUAGUGUAGCGGUGAAAUGCGUAGAUAUUACACAGAACACCGAUUGCGAAGGCAGCUUGUUAGGCCGGAUCUGACACUGAUGCACGAAAGCGUGGGGAUCGAACAGGAUUAGAUACCCCUGUAGUC